rnacentral:lncRNA from 1 species
UCAAUCGCCGGGCUCCUGGUUCCCUUAGUGCCUACCCACAUUUGCGCUGAAAAAAUUUUUUUUUUUCCACUGGGAAACCCAAGAAGAGUGGGGGAUCAAUUUGCCUACAAAUUCAUAAGAAGGGAAUUCCUAUCUUGGGGUGCAGUGGGGAGUAAAUCAGCUAUUCUCAAUUUUUUUGAUCUUAGGAUAGCCUUACAAUUUUAAAACUUGUUGAAGACCCCAAAGAAUUUUCAUUUAUAUUGAUAGUUACUGUAUUUAAAAUGAAAACAAAAUUUAAAGAUAUGCAUUCAUUUAAAGUAACACUAAAUUUAUGUAUUAAGGCAAGUAAUUUUUGUAUUCAACCUUUUUGAGUGUACAGGUCUGUGGCAUAAGUAAUUGUAUUUUAUUUUUUAUAUAUAUUUAUUUUCAGUACUGGAGCUUGAACCCAAGGGUGUCUAACACUGAGCUAUCCCCCCCCCCCCCCCCCCCAGCCCUGUUAAUUUUUAUUUUUAAGACAGGGCCUCACUAAGUUGCUGAGGCUUGUCCAUUUAUGAUCCUCUUGCCUCAGCCUCCUGAGUUGCUGGUAUUAUAGGCGUGUGCCACUACAUCUGACUGCAUAUAUAAUUUUUAAAAAUAUGUACAUAUAUAUUUUUAGUUGUUGAUGGACCUUUAUUUUAUUCAUUUGUUCAUAUGCAGUGCUGAGAAUCAAACCCAGUGCCUCACACAUGCUAGGCAAGCCCUCUACCACUAAGCCACAACCCAGCACUGCAUAAGUAAUUUUUUUUUUUUUGAGAGAGAGAGAGAGAGAAUUUUUUUUUAAUAUUUAUUUUUCAGUUUUCGGCGGACACAACAUCUUUGUAUGUGGUGCUGAGGAUUGAACCCAGGCCGCUUGAGCCACAUCUCCAGCCCUGCAUAAGUAAUUUAAAAAAUAAAAACUAUUUUGGCUGGUGGCCAUCCACUCUUAGAACAAACCAAACUAGCUCAUAACCCUGAUUUCACUAAGGGCAGGAUUUCUGAGGCUGCAGUUUUUGGACAGUGAAUCAGAGAUAAAUAAGACUGUGCAGUAGGGGAGAAGAUAAAACAAUACUUUAUGGAAAAUAUAGAAGAAUGGACAUGUUGUCAAGUACAGUGUAAGGUAGGGAGGGAUGCCACUGGAAAUGCUUCUUAGAGGAGGAAACUUUCAAUUAGGCUUAAAUAGAUGGGUGAAGUUUGGAGAUGGGAGACUUAUCUCAGGAGGUAGGUAGCUAUAUUGUGUUAGAAGGGACAUUGAAGAAGUUGAGAUUAGGAGAGCCAGGUUGAGAUUACUACUUUGAAGAGUUUGUAUCUGAGGUAAGGAGCUUGAACUUAGAUCUGUCAGUGAAGGGGAGUUAUUAAGACUGUGUUUUGAGUAGCACAUUUAGAUCAUUAGCUUAAUCUGUUAUGUAGGAUGAGUUGGUAAAGCAAAAAUAGGAGACUUAAAAGCAUAGGUUAGAGGCAAUGAGAUAUUCCUUCUCCACCUUUUAUUGAGUUAGUUUGUUUAUGUAUUUCUUUAUGUUUUGUAGUACUGAGGAUUGACUCCAAGGCCUUGCACAUGUUAGGCAAGCAUUCUACCACUGAGCUCUACUGUUGGCCCUUUUUAUUUUAUUUUGAGACAGAGUCUGGUUAAGUUGCCAAGCCUGGACUUGAACUUGCAAUCCUCUUGCCCCAGCCUCCUGGAGUGUUUGGGCUCACUGACACAUAUUACUGCUUGUGGAUUUGAGGAUUGAACCCAGGACCUCAUGCAUCCCCAGCCCACAAAAUGUACUUUUUUCUUAACUUCAGCUCUCACCAAUUGAAGGAGUAAUGUAGUCCAUUGUACCAUGUUCCUGUCCUAUCCUUAGGAUUCAUUUUUUUUUUUUUUUUGUGGUGCUGGGGAUCGAACCCAGGGCCUUGUGCGUGCGAGGGAAGCACUCUAACAAAUGAGAUAUAUCCCCAGCCCCAUCUCUUUUUUUUGACCUAACUAUUUAGCAUUUUGCAUAGCUGCUACUCAGUUACCUGUAUAGGGAAGGGACUUGAGGGUAAGAAGUUAUGCCUACAUUGAAUGGAAGGAUGUUCUUUUCUGUACCUAGCUCUGGAAGCUUAUGAAUGAUCCCUGAGCAAGAACUGGUGAAGAUUUAGUUUUGAGUCCUUGGGAAAGUCUAAGUCUUUGUUUUCUCAUCUCUGAAAUGGUGAUAAUAUUUUUUUUUUCUUGCUUCAUUAACCUGUUAGGCUUAAAUGAGUUGGUGGACAAAAGAAUGAUUUGUGAAGAGUAAAGUGCUAUGUAAAUACAGGAUAAGAAUCUCAGCUUGCAUAUAAUUCAAUGUAUGAACACAUGAAUUCCCUAAUUGAAACAAUGCUCUUGCUCCCUGUAGGGAGUAUGGAUCUCGUUGUAGUUUAGAUGACCACUCUAAUACCAUCUUGUAAUUGUACUUGGGAAUUCCAGUUGGGUUCAGAAUGACUGAGAUUUGAUUGCUGUUGAAUGUUUUUCUCUAUUUGCUCAAAGUUGGUGCGCAAGAAGUAUGUGUUAUCCUGCUUUCGAGAUGCCCUUGUGAGGCAUGCCUCCCUGGUCACACAGCUGGUGGCUCAGGAUCAGAGAGUCUGCAUUCACUUCAUAAAUAUCCUUUUUGGUGAGAUUAAAAGGAAACUUAGCAUGACUUUUGUGUGGAUAGCAUGUGUAUUUAUUUUUGGGGAUCUUGGGGAAUGAUCUUGGGAUAAUGAUUUAGACUUUUUGUAUUGUAACAGUUUAUUAGCCCAUUGUUUUGUCAUAAUGAUGGAGAUAUGGCCCUCUUUCAAAGAUAGGUGAUACAGCUAUCUUUUAUGGUAAUUAGCCUUACUAGAUCUAAAAGGUUAGUAAAAAUGUGAAGAUGAGUAUGGGAAAUACAUAAUUCUUCAAAGAGUGCCGUCUAGAUUUUUCACAGGAUCAGAAGGCUUGGAAUGGAAUUGGCUGCCCUUGAUGUGACUGAUCAAGUUAAUUCACUUCUCUUGUGCCUUACAAACAUGUUUCUCCUGUGCCUGAGGGAACACAUGCUUCUUCAUGUGUAAAAUGAAACAGAUUAAAUUGUACCUGAGGUCUCAUCUUUUAAUAUGAUUUUGAUUUCCAGUGGAAUGAAUCAUUUUUGGGAAGAGGGCAUUUAAUUUGUAUUGGGUGCUUCUCUAUGUUAGAAGCUUUUCAGCCUUUUCACUGCCAAGGCAAUAUUUAAGGAAGAUAGGAUGAUCCUCAAGGCUCAGGGAGGUCAUAAACAAAUGGCAGAGCUGGAAUUUUACCCUAGAUCUGUCACAGACUCUAGAGCACACAGUUUUUCUGCUGUGCCACAUUAACAGUUCUCAUCUUUUUAAAGCUAGAGUAGAUCAUUGAAAUUCUAAGUGUUUGAUGUUAAGGGUAGAAUUUAACUGGGACAUUGCUUAAGGUUGCUAGUUUUAGAAUCUGCAGCAUAGCUUUGUGGGUUUGUUUCUCUUAAAAGAGAACCAUUAACCACUCUUUUAUUACUUCCCUCUGCACCAAGGACUGUUAUGCAAUGUAGAAGAUGGGAAUGUAACAGACCUCUGUAUUGAAGGUAAGGUGAAACUG